rnacentral:rRNA from 1 species
CUACGGGAUGCAGCAGUGGGGAAUAUUGCACAAUGGAGGAAACUCUGAUGCAGCAACGCCGCGUGGAGGAUGACACUUUUCGGAGCGUAAACUCCUUUUAUAUAGGAAGAAGAUGACGGUACUAUAUGAAUAAGCGCCGGCUAACUCCGUGCCAGCAGCCGCGGUAAUACGGAGGGCGCAAGCGUUACUCGGAAUCACUGGGCGUAAAGAGCGUGUAGGCGGAUUAAAAAGUCAGAAGUGAAAUCCUAUAGCUUAACUAUAGAACUGCUUCUGAAACUCUUAAUCUAGAAUAUGGGAGAGGUAGAUGGAAUUUCUGGUGUAGGGGUAAAAUCCGUAGAGAUCAGAAGGAAUACCGAUUGCGAAGGCGAUCCACUAGUACAUUAUUGACGCUGAGACGCGAAAGCGUGGGGAGCAAACAGGAUUAGAUACCCGCGUAGUC